UAGGUCCUUUGUUGUAAAUGAGAGGAGGGUUUUUUUUCACAUUCUGAAUUUAAUUGCUUUUGCAGAAUGGAGGACACCAGGACUCGUCAGCUGGUAAAUGGCAAUCAACUACAGUGGCACUUUGGAGAGACAUCACAGUUACACUUCAAUGACCACAGAGUCCUGCCAGCAUCCAGUCUUCUCAGCAUCCUGCACUGGCACAACUUCUCUGUAAGAGCUCUUGCAAAUGAUUUAACAAGUAGACUUGAUGGAGAGGCAGACACGUGAUGGAGCUGAAGAAGCAAACCAUGGUAACAGCAGCACAAGUGAGACAUCUUGGAGGUUAGACAAGAUGAUCUUAAAAGAUCCCUUCCAACCGAAACCAUACUGUGAUCUUCACUGAAAACUUUUACUCAACCAUUAAAUAAAACGAAACCUUCAGACUGGUUUUUAGGAAUAAAAUGAAACCUUCAGACUGGCUUUUUUAGGAAGGAGAUUCAGAAAACAGAAUAGUGAUUGACAGCAGGCUGGAAACAGGCCUGCCCAGGCAAGAGUCAGCCCUCUGGAGCUACAGUAUCCAAACGGGGCUCAACUACAGGGAAAUUUAGCAGAUAGAGAAGGAGAAACGAUGCUCAGAAAGAAUGCAUGCCUACAGGAAAUUCCCAGCAUCAGCUGGCGACCAAGUCAAUGGACCAUUGCCAAAGGAACAAGUCCAUGCACCAGAGUUGGGUAGUAGAGAGCCCAAGCUGAAGACUCCAAACCAGGAUUUAGAUCUCCAUUGAAACUCUGCUCAGUAAACUUCUAACCAGUCUGCAGGAAAAGCUCGUGAUCCUUUUGCUAAUAGCA